GGUCCCGUAGCUCAAUGGCAGAGCAUCCGGCUUACACCCGGUGUGCGCAGGUUCGAUUCCUGUCGGGACUA
rnacentral:tRNA from 1 species